rnacentral:rRNA from 1 species
UGGGGAAUAUUGCACAAUGGGCGCAAGCCUGAUGCAGCCAUGCCGCGUGUAUGAAGAAGGCCUUCGGGUUGUAAAGUACUUUCAGCGAGGAGGAAGGCGUUGUGGUUAAUAACCGCAACGAUUGACGUUACUCGCAGAAGAAGCACCGGCUAACUCCGUGCCAGCAGCCGCGGUAAUACGGAGGGUGCAAGCGUUAAUCGGAAUUACUGGGCGUAAAGCGCACGCAGGCGGUCUGUCAAGUCGGAUGUGAAAUCCCCGGGCUCAACCUGGGAACUGCAUCCGAAACUGGCAGGCUAGAGUCUUGUAGAGGGGGGUAGAAUUCCAGGUGUAGCGGUGAAAUGCGUAGAGAUCUGGAGGAAUACCGGUGGCGAAGACGGCCCCCUGGACAAAGACUGACGCUCAGGUGCGAAAGCGUGGGGAGCAAACA